AUCGCCAAAAUCAAAUCUCAAUCAAAAUCGACGACUUCCCUCGCCCCCCUCGAUCUUGGUCUUCCGAAACCCUAAUCGGAUCGGAUCGGUAAGGCAAUGGACAAAACCACGAGCGUAAUCAGCAGCGCCUCGAUCAACUCCACCGUAACCUCAACGACUUCCAUGGAGAAGAUCAACCAGGCCGCGAGCUGCGUCAGCGCCUCCUUCAUCUCCGCUUUCUUCGCCUCCCUCGAGCGCUGCGCCUGCGUCAACCUCUCCACCUCCCAUGACGACGACGACGACGACGACAACGAGGAGUCCUACCACCGUCCCCUUGCUCUCUCCGCCGCGCCUCAUUCUCACGACACCCUUUAACCUCCCUUUUCAUCUCUCUGGGUAAUUGAAGAUCCUCUCGUGUUUUCUGUGUGUGUGUGUGUGUCUCGCAGCUCCCUGGGUUGAAUUCUCGUAAUGUGCUUAUGGAAAGUUCAGACCUUUUGGAUUGUAAAUGUCAGACGUUGAUUCUCUCUUCUUUCUUUUGUUUUGAUUCUCAUAUGCUUUCUCUAUCUCUGUGUACCUUAUGAUGAUCUUACUUGGGUUUUGAAUGAUUACUUAUGUUUGAUGUUUUCGAAUUAAACAAAUGCUCUAAAGAUCCUUCCUUUGAAGUUUUUUUAUGUGAUCUUUCAAGUUUUAGUGCCGGGACAUGUUAGUGUUUCACUUAGAUUAUGUUAUUUAAGAACUCUGUUAUAGAUAAUGCCUCUCUGCUUAGCACUAGUAAUGGCACAUUUUGGUGUGGGAUUAAGGCGUCAGUAGUGUCAAUGUCGUGUUUAUUUUCAAUUACCAAACAUUCAAACUUUGUCUGCUUAGCUUGAUUCCAAGGAGUCUUCCGUAUAGAGAAAAUAUUGUUCAAACGUCUUUGUCAUGUUAAGAAUAAUGUAUUAUAGGACCAUAUGAUGAUGAUAAGUCACUCUCAAACCUUUUUCCCUUGACUCUCACUUGGUGAUAGAUUGUUUUGUUCUUCAGUUUUCUUGAAUAUAGAUUCUAGAAGGUGCAUCUCUUAUUGCUGAAGAAGCAAAUAUGCUAUCUCAACAUUUGCUUCUUCAGCAAUAGGAGAAGCACUUUGUAAAUUAUGUACAUUUCUAGUUUAGAUUUUUGUACAUAGAGAAUAUCUUGCAAGUCCCUCAAAUGGUGUAACUACUCUGGCUUUAUAUGCCAAUCUAAUGAGAAUGAUUCCAGCAGGGAAGUUGUUAGGGUCACGAUAUUUUUUUCUUUUUUCUCCUAUCACAUCUUGCGUUUAUGUUUUGGGUGUGUUUCAUUUCGUUUUAGGGUUUAGGGAAUCAAAGAUAUAAAAAUAAUCACUUAAAAUGCAUUUUGUAUUGAAAAUGUUGUUACAAUGUUACAUCAUUCAUUUAUCAAAUCGGAAAAGUUUAGUCUGUGGACGGUUUGGCAUGCUUCAUCUAAUUAAGAAACAAAGUAGCCCCUCCUAUGAUGUGUUAAGCUUUAACUAUAAGCUAGAUCUUUUCAAAAUAAGACCACAGUGGUUACUUCUCAAUACAGUGAGAUUUGAACCUUUGAUAUUAUAUGGAAGUCACUUUCUAGUUUAAGAAUUUAUUUAUUUUUUUUGAAAUAUGUAUGUGUUGUUAUUGACCUCUUUGGAAACUGGUGCUUUAAUUAAGAUCAUAGUGAUCCAUCUGAGUCAACAAAAUCUAAUCGUUCUCAUCCUAAAACAAACAAUUGAUUUGAUAGUGAUCCAUCUGAGUCAGCCAUAGGUUUUGGUGACUCCUCUGGAAACCCUAUUCAAAUUCAAAAAUUUAGCAAUGUAUUUACACAAACAUAAGUGUAGUUAAAUCUCCAAACUCUUCUUAUCCUUCUCAUCUCCUUACAAAUCCUCCCUCUCUAUUCCUCUCCUUGCUUCCUUCAUAAACCCAAAACGUUUCAUUCCUCGGUUUGUCUUUUCCUACAUCCAUGGCAAUCUCAGACACAGGUCCCCUGGUCCAGACCACCCCGCUCGUCACUUUCCUCCAGCGCGUGCAACUCGAAGCACACCGGUCCUAUCCAAAUGAAAAAACCCCUGACCCCAAAUUCUACAUUGACCUAUCUCUCAAGCUUCCUCACCAUCUCUCCACCGUCGAGGCCGCCUUCAACGACCUCACGAGCGGAUCACGUGACCUACCAGUGCCAGUGAAGAAGCUUGAAAAGUUCGUCCAUGAAUACUUCGACGAUGCGAAGGAUCUGGUGCCUCAUGAACCAGAGGAUUUCGUCACAGAUCCCUUUGAGUUCCUCCUCAACGUGGAGAACGAUCAAGUCAGAGAAUGGGCACGUGAGGUGCACAGCCUUUGGAAAACACUAUGCUACAGAGUCUCUGACUCCGUGAGAGAGUCUCCUGACCGGCACACGCUUCUACCGUUGCCGGAACCGGUUAUCAUUCCUGGUUCGAGAUUCAAAGAAGUCUAUUACUGGGAUUCUUACUGGGUUAUCAAGUCAGUGUUCAUCAACUUAUUCAAAUCACAGAUCAGAUUAUAGUUCUUUAUUGUUUCUUCCACUCUUUUUUUAUAUUACGUGUUGACUACGGAACACGAGGUCACGUGUCUUGUCAUGUUAUAUGUGCUUUUGCACGUGCAGAGGACUUAUGACGAGUAAAAUGUUCACUACGGCCAAAGGUAUAGUGACGAAUCUGAUGUCACUUGUGGAGACUUAUGGUUACGCGUUGAACGGAGCUAGAGCUUAUUACACCAACCGAAGGUAACCAAAACUGAUCAUUUUCUAACAGUAAUAUAAUUGUUGUUGCUAUGUUAACAGAAUAUAAUAAAUGUUACUUUGAUAAUGUUACAAGCCAACCACCUUUACUGAGCUCAAUGGUCUAUGAGAUAUAUAACGUAACCAAAGAUGAAGAACUUGUGAGGAAAGCUAUCCCCGUUCUUCUCAAAGAGUACGAGUUCUGGAACUCAGGUUAGUUUUUUCAGUAGAGUUAUAUAAUGAUUUGGUGUGUUGUUCGGUGUAAUGUUGGUAAUAUUAUAUCUUUUAAUUUUGUAGGAAAACAUAAGGUGGUUAUUCGGGAUGCUAGUGGCAAUGAUCACAUGUUAAGCCGCUAUUACGCCAUGUGGAACAUGCCUAGACCUGAAUCCUAUGUUUUUGUAUGUUUCUUGUCUCGUUGCCGCAAGUAAUCUGUUUUUUUUUUACUGUAAAAAUUUGUUUACUCUAUCUCUAUGUGUACCACAGGAUCAAGAAUCUGCUUCAGCGUUUUCGAGUACGUUACAGAAACAACGGUUCCUUCGAGACAUAGCCACGGCUGCUGAAACAGGAUGUGAUUUCAGCACACGAUGGAUGAGGUUACAUUAAUUAUCAAAAAAUGCGACUAAAUAAGUUUAUCUUACUGUCACGCUUAAUCAAUCUCAAAUAAUAUAUGCAGGGAUCCUCCUAAUUUCGCAACGAUGGCUACAACAUCAGUUGUUCCUGUUGAUCUAAAUGUUUUUCUUCUCAAGGUUUCUCUAUUCUAUUAAUUAUGGUUUAAAGAUUUGUAGAGGCAUAUGCUUGAGUCUAGAAAUGAUUAUGUUUUGUGUCGUAGAUGGAACUCGAUAUAGCGUUCAUGAUGGGGAUUUGUGGGGAUAAAAACGGCUCAGAGCGUUUUGUGAAAGCGUCAGAAGCGUAUUUUUUUAUUAUUAUUUUUUUUCUGUUUGAUUUUUGUUUUUAAAAAAAAAAAAAAAAAAAUUUAUAACCGGACCAACCGCGGGCCGCCACGUGUUGUGGGACCCGCGCUACAGUGAUGAUCCAGGUUCAGUGCAGUGUAUUUUAAUAUUUUUUUUUCGAAAACUGUGUGAACUCCCCAUGGAGUUCACUAAUGCAGAUGCUCUUAGAUCCUUGUUUGAGGCUCAUUGAAAAUUUCCGUCCAAUUGCAUAUUGGCUUAGUACUACUACUACAUUGUUGAAAGGAUAAAUCCACUAAUGAAAAAUAAAAAAAGGCAAAAGAGUGCGCAUCCAGGGAAUCGAACCCUGGUCAGUACCGUGGGAGGGUACUAUGAUACCACUACACCAGAUGCGCUUGUGGUUAUUACACCAAUAUAAAACAAUACUAUUUAUAACAUUAAUAUCAAAAAUCUAUACCCCGUCAAAUGCGGGGGGUGAUACCUUUGCCAUUUGAGAUCGCCAAAAUCAAAUCUCAAUCAAAAUCGACGACUUCCCUCGCCCCCCUCGAUCUUGGUCUUCCGAAACCCUAAUCGGAUCGGAUCGGUAAGGCAAUGGACAAAACCACGAGCGUAAUCAGCAGCGCCUCGAUCAACUCCACCGUAACCUCAACGACUUCCAUGGAGAAGAUCAACCAGGCCGCGAGCUGCGUCAGCGCCUCCUUCAUCUCCGCUUUCUUCGCCUCCCUCGAGCGCUGCGCCUGCGUCAACCUCUCCACCUCCCAUGACGACGACGACGACGACGACAACGAGGAGUCCUACCACCGUCCCCUUGCUCUCUCCGCCGCGCCUCAUUCUCACGACACCCUUUAACCUCCCUUUUCAUCUCUCUGGGUAAUUGAAGAUCCUCUCGUGUUUUCUGUGUGUGUGUGUGUGUCUCGCAGCUCCCUGGGUUGAAUUCUCGUAAUGUGCUUAUGGAAAGUUCAGACCUUUUGGAUUGUAAAUGUCAGACGUUGAUUCUCUCUUCUUUCUUUUGUUUUGAUUCUCAUAUGCUUUCUCUAUCUCUGUGUAC
rnacentral:lncRNA from 1 species